GUCUACAGCCAUGCUACCCUGAACAAGCCCGAUCCCAUCUGAUCUCGGAAGCUAAGCAGGGUCAGACCUGGUUAGUACUUGGAUGGGAGACCACCUAGGAAGACCAGGUGCUGUAGGCG
rnacentral:rRNA from 1 species